GAUGAACGCUGGCGGCGUGCCUAAUACAUGCAAGUCGAGCGAAGCGGAGACGGGUGAGUAACACGUGGAUAACCUCCUAUCAAACUGGGAUAACUUCGGGAAACAGGAGCUAAACCGGCUACUUAUAGAUGGAUCCGCGAUGCAUUUGCUAGUGGUUAAGGUAACGGCUUACAAAGGCAACGAUGCCUAGCCGACCAGCGAGGGGGAUCGGCCAUACUGGAACUGAGACACGGUCCAUACUCCUACGCGAGGCAGAAGUAUGGAAUCUUCCGCAAUGUGCGAAAGCCUGACGGAGCAACGCCGCGUGAGUGAUGAAGGUCUUCGGAUCGUAAAACUCUGUUAUUAGGGAAGCGGUACCUAAUCAGAAAGCCACGGCUAACUACGUGCCAGAAGCCGCGGUAAUAC
rnacentral:rRNA from 1 species